CAGCAGUGGGGAAUAUUGCACAAUGGGCGCAAGCCUGAUGCAGCCAUGCCGCGUGUAUGAAGAAGGCCUUCGGGUUGUAAAGUACUUUCAGUCGUGAAGAAGGUGUUAGGGUUAAUAACCUUAGCAAUUGACGUUAGCGACAUAAGAAGCACCGGCUAACUCCGUGCCAGCAGCCGCGGUAAUACGGAGGGUGCGAGCGUUAAUCGGAAUUACUGGGCGUAAAGGGCACGCAGGCGGUUAGUUAAGUUGGAUGUGAAAUCCCUGGGCUUAACCUAGGAAUGGCAUUCAAAACUGGCUAGCUAGAGUCUUGUAGAGGAGGGUAGAAUUCCAUGUGUAGCGGUGAAAUGCGUAGAGAUGUGGAGGAAUACCGGUGGCGAAGGCGGCUCUCUGGACAAAGACUGACGCUCAUGUGCGAAAGCGUGGGGAGCAAACAGGAUUAGAUACCUUGGUAGUCCACGCUGUAAACGAUGUCGAUUUGGAGGUUGUGGUCAUGAAUUGUAGCCUUCGGAGCUAACGCGUUAAAUUGACCGCCUGGGGAGUACGGCCGCAAGGUUAAAACUCAAAUGAAUUGACGGGGGCCCGCACAAGCGGUGGAGCAUGUGGUUUAAUUCGAUGCAACGCGAAGAACCUUACCUACUCUUGACAUCCAGCGU
rnacentral:rRNA from 1 species